rnacentral:lncRNA from 1 species
GAGUACGCAGUGAAGACAGACAGCAGAGACCAGGUCAUAAGGGUCAAAUAUAUUCCUGACGAAUGAGACAAGCUCAAUAGAAUGAGUAAUUCAAUGUGCAUACGUAAAAUAUUUUGUUUACAUUUUAUUUUUGUUUUUCCACGCAAGCUCUGUAGGUUGGAAAACUAUACCACAUUCUCUUGGACACAAAUGCAAAAGGAAGUCCAACACCUAGAAAUACCACAGUGAAACUUUUCCUUUCAAAGACUGAGAAAAUUAUAUCAAUAGCCAAUAAAAAUUGGGCAAACACAAUUCUUUGGCCACAAAGUAUUAGAAAUCUAGUGGGUUUCCUAUUUCUUCUGUAUUAUGUCAAAUAUCAAAAAAAAAAAAAGGAAAUCAAAAAAAGCAGUCUGAGGGGAAAGAAUUGUGAUUAAACAAUGAUAAACGCUGCCAUUUUUUCUUGAUAUAUGCAGGCAAUAGAAAGAUCACUGUCCAAAGAUGUAAUAUGGUGCCAGGGUAUAUUUCUUGAAAAAUAUGACUUGAAAAUUACGUGAACGGUGGAACAAAAUUAAGGACUCAAGGCCGGGAAAUUCUAUACAAGAGAAGUGGUGGUGAGCAUUGAAACAGAUAACCAAAGCAAUCAAAAUAUUUGCCAAAAUAAUCAUUUUAGAGCCAACAUGUAUUUAGAGCUUACUAAGGGCCAGGCUCUGUGCUCUUUGACAUAUAUGUUUGUUCAUAAAAGCUAAGGCAGGUGUCAAAAAUUACUCAUCAAAUAAGAGAUGUUUCAUAUCAAAAUAACGUCUUCUGGGCCUAAAUCUUCGGAUUUCAUCAUGAAAACCAAACAGUGAGCAGAGAAAAGUGCUCAGUUCAUCUUAAUUUGGGAAAGAUGGGGGAUUCAAAAACACUAUUUCUUUUUUUUUUUAAUCAACAUCGAUAAUUAGCAGUAUAUUCCACAACAUACAAAGUUAAAACAAUUAAAAGUUAUAAAGAAAAGGACAAGUUGGAAAGAGUUUUUCUAACCAUAACGGCAGAAAAAAAGAAAUGAUAAAAUGAUUUAUAAAAAGAUGUCUUUAUAAAUCAUAACGGAAAACCAACACACACACAGGGAAAUAAAACAGCGCGGGGAUUCGAACUGGCAAAUUGACAAGUAUUAUGGAAAAAAUAUUAACUUCCUAAGUCAUUUUUAAAAGCGCAAAUUAAAACAGCAAUGCCAUGCCUGCGACGUGAAACGCAUCACACUGGCAAAAACUCAGAAGAAUGAUAAUCGCUGGUGUUAGCUAGGCUUGAGGGAGAGGUCCCUUUCAUAGCCUGCCAGGAGGAGGGUAAAUUGGUAAAUUGGUACUCUUCUGGACGGGAAUUUGGCAACAGACAUCAAAAGCUUUCUAAACGCAGACACCUUUGGACUCGACGAUUCCAUUUCCAAAGGACUUAGGAGGCGGCGGCCACAAAGAUUCAACCCCAGCGAUGGGAAGCGCAGCCCUCACGCACCUGCGGGUCUUCUGCUUUCAAGUGGAGGAUGCCAGUCCCGCCAGAACUAGGAAGAGGGCAAGAGCCGAAGCUGCAAAGGCAGGGACUUGCUGAGUGUCCCAGGCUCUGCAGAUGCAGCCUCCGGAACGUCGCUGCCGAGAGCCGCUCACUUCUGCUAAGCCGGUCCCCUGGUUGCGGAGUGUCUCUGGUGUCUUUCCUGGGGUUGUCCCCAAGGCUUUUCCAAAGCCCUGUUUAAACAUGUCAGGUCACUUCUGUCACACUCCAGGCAGCUAAGGGAAGGGUGGGCUAGAAGUGCAGUGGGUGCCUCCGGGGGCUGGUUGGGCAAAACUGGAGACUCAGCGCAGCACCCGCAGUGCAGAGCUAGUGGCUGGCGCGGGGCGGCUGGUGCGCGGCCCCUUACCUUGCGCGUUCCUCCUGAUGUUGGCCAGAGCCGCCUCUGCUGCAGAGAAUAAGCUGUGCUCCCUGCACGGUGGUGUCUUUGGCUCCCAGUCACAGGACCCGGAAAGAACACAGGGGCUCCACUGCACAGGAACCACCAUCCACCUGUUACCCUGGAGGUGGAAGCGUCUGAACACCUCACCGUGACUCUCACGGUCGAAAGGGCGCUCAGAUGCCAGAGAGCUCCCGCUCCCUCUCUCUAAAAACCAGACCCCCUUCUGCUGAAACUGUUAAUGAAAACGAGCCUUGCAAAGAUGCUUCUCUCCUGGACCGUUGAUACCUUUGGACUUGAGAAUUCCAUUUCCAAAUGUGAUCCGCGGGGAAAGCAAAGGACUUUCGCUUUACGGCGCAAACGUCUCCUGAACUUUUCAAUCAUGCUGAACGGAGGCUCUGUACCUGACUGACAGGACCGCCCUCUUCCCCUCCCCCAGCCCCUGGUAACCUGUACCCACUUCCUGUCUGGGAACUGGACUACUCUUGGUCCCUCCUCUAAGUGGGAUAGCAUGUGCGGAUGUCACGGCUUUGACGCUGUUUGCCCUUCGGUGUCUGGCGUGUUUCAUGGAGCAUGUUGCCGUGGAGGGUUUCAAGUCCCCAAAGAUUUGGUGACAUAUCUCAACUAGAGACUGGCACUUCAAUCUCAGAGGGCUGUCCCCUGCCACGCCCUGUUUGAUGCCAACCAGCUUUGCCAUGGGAGCCUUUGGUGUCCUAUCUCCCUCUCCCACUGGAGCCCCAGGCACCAGCUGUCUUCAGCAUCCUCCCUGCGCCCUUGACCACCAGAGGGAUGAGUGUACCAGACUCUGGGAGGGAACAGCAGCUGUGUGAUCAGAGGCCAUUUCAGACGCAAACUUUUGGUCUGCACAAACUAUCAAAAGGACCUCCAGAUACAAACACCAACAAAAAUCACCAGGCUAUGUGGCACAAGAGCCACCUCAACCCACAUCUGGCGACAGGACUCGGGGCUCUUCUUUGUCUGUCCACCCUCUUGAGGCCAAACGCUGAGCAGUGGCCGUGAUCGGAAGGAGGCCUGGGCGCUGGUAAAACGCAUGGCUGAGUCUCAUCUUUUCCUGAGCCCUUGACCUCCCUGGGCUCCGAUUUUAACAAGAAGGCAUCUCUUAUUGUUUCACUGAUAGGGACUUGAGAUGGAUAGUUUUGGGGCAGUUUGGCCAUCAUCACAGGAGAGGGGAAAGGCUGAGAAUGGAGCUUCAUCUUGGAGCCUUGGUCCUCGAGGUUGGAUGAGCAGCAGCAUCACCGAGAACGCUUUAAAAAUCCACACGGCUGUAAUAACAAGUACGAUGACAUGUUCGGUUAAUGGGUCUCAAGGAACGUCGAGACCAUGUCCAGGUACCAUCAUCCACACGGUGUUUGAAUUUAUUUCUCCAUAUGAUGCCCGUGCUCUAAGAGCUCCGCUUUUCAGACGAGGGAACGCAUGCAGCCAUGUCAACUCUGUCCAAACAAAUAAACAAACCAGCACCAGACACUUGUUGGAAGUGGCAAGACAGCUGUCACCCAGAUGAUGGCAGCAGGAGAGAAAGACUCCAGUGUAUAAACUGGGCUCAAUUCCAAGUGCGACAAGGUUGACCGGGGCCUUUUCAGCGAGAACGACUAGGAAGCAAGCACGUGAAGAGGUGACAAGGAGAACUGGACAAAGAGACUGGCAGUGCAAGUGAAACGGAAAGAUGCAGAAGUGGGGAAUUCUAGCGGAGAACUGCAGGACCGGGCUGGCCAGGCUGGGCUGGGGGACAAAGCACAUUCUUUGUUCGGCAGCAGCUUUUGCUUGAGCAAAGAUUCACCACCGGGGCCUGGGUCGCCUUUAGGGACACAGCCACCUGCAAGCAGAAGCCAGGCUGAUGUCUGGGCAAGUAUCUUAGCACAAGGUUGGGGCAAGCCCUUUGUGUUGUGGUGUGGGUUCGGAACCGCGUCACUUGCCUAAGGAAGGCCACACAGCCAGCAGGCAGUGGCGUUGGGAGUCAAGCCCGAGCAGCGGGAUGGAAUUCCGAAUCCUAUCCUGUCUCUGCAGACGUGUUUUUAGCAUCAGCCCUUUGCUGUUCCCCGAGCGAAUGCUCCUGUCUCCCUCACCUGUCUUCAUACCUGUGCAGUUCGGCUCCACCAGUUGCUCCCACACUUCAGGGCCAGAAAGCCUGUCACCUGUGGUUCCCUGGGCACCUGCGCUCAGCUUCUCUGCAGCCACAGCCCUGGCAAGGACAGACCCAGCCUUAGCCCUGCGGAGUCCUUUCCUCUGUCUCCAUCUGUACCCUCGCCUUCUCCCACUCUGAAGGAGUCGCCCCUGAAGGCUUCAGAGCCGACCCUGAAGAGUGCGUUUGACAAGGGGACAUCCUGACCUGGCGACGUUUUCGCAACCUUAGAAAAAUGACCUCAUCCCACGUUACCAACCAACCAACCUCUCCAUCCUAACACAAAGCUCAGCCAAGCCUCCUGGGAAAAAGACACAGAGGGAAGAGGAAGAGCUGCUGUAAGGAAUCCGAGGAGCUAAGCCAUCCAGAAAAGCUGUUUUCAAACUUUGUAUAUAUAUAUAUUCAAUAAUAUAUUAUACAUAAUAAAUAAUAAUACGUCUAUCUUUAAUAUAAAUAUAUGUAUAUUUAAUAUAUUACUAUACUUGUAUUAAAUAUACACAUGUAUAUAUAUAUUCAACCUUAUGUAGCUUACAUAAUAUGUAUAUUUUUUAUAAAUAUACACUCUUAGUUCCGCUUCCCAGGCUGGUCCGGAGAAGGAGAGAGAGUUCCAUUCUCUCUGCCAUAGUUUAUGGCAGAUGCUUGAGCCGGGGACCCCACAGCUGGUCGUCACCCUCCCUGUCUCAGUUCUCGCCUGACAAUGUGUCAGUGACCCUGCGGCACCUGUGUCCCUCUCACACACGAUGACAGGGUUUUAAUCCCCUGUGCACGCGUCACAAACCCAGACCAGAGCCUGGAGGUGCUGAAGGCAGGAAUGAAUGCAUGAGCACAGAGGGGGAGGGGCAAAAAUGAACCUGCCGGGAGAACUGAGGGGCAUGGGGAUGCGGUUUGCUCCUUGGCAGGAAGUUCCGUCAAGGUGACAUCCGGGAAAGCGUUCAGGACUUAGGUCGGGCAUAUAGUUGGUGCUCAAUAAAUGCUUAAGAAACAGAGAAUGGGAUCGACCUGUUUGCUCUGUUUCUCCGGUUGAGGGGGUCUCAUCUCAAAAAAGACCACCAAGAUCUCAUUAUCUUCAUUUUACUCAGAAAACCUGAGAUUUCUGUCCAAUAUCACAUGUUUGCAGAGUUCUGGAACUGGGAUCUGGAUGAUUUUGCUUUGGUUCCAGAAUUCUCUCUUAGGUCCACAAUCCUACCCAGUAGUUGCACCAUCUUGUCCACUAGUCUCUCUUCUCUUUACUUGGUCUACACUGAGCUUUGGUCAGCGCCGGUGGCUUGUUUUCACAGAAUCUGCUCGGAACCCCCUUCUUCCUCCAUGCAGCCCACAUGCCUUGGGGAGCAGGGCCUGUUGCUCUGAAAGCACAGGACGUUUCUCAAGCUGUGACAUCCUUACAAGUCACCUGGUGACCCGGUGACUAGGCAGGUGCUGGGUCAGGGGAGGGGGCUGGGCCUGAGACUCUGCAUUUCUAGUGGCCUCCACCUGCUGCUCCUGCCUUCCUCGGGGCAGGAGGACAGCUUGGUGCCUUUGUUUGUGCUGAAUUUCUCUCUGAAGACACGGCAAGUUUCUUGACAGCUGGACCAGUGUGGUUCAUCUUUCUCUCCCUGGAUGGAAGGAUUAGCUCAGGGGAGGGGGAUUAGCUCCAGGGAGGGGGAUUAGCUCAGGGGAGAGACGUCUUUUCCUUCGAAUCCACCUUUUUGAGCAGAGAAGAGAGGAGCUGAGCGGUUCCCGUCUGGGACCUUAGCCCUCGCUUCUUUUUCAUGACGCCACAACCCCUACAAAACCCAACCAAACAGAACGAACUGUGAAGUACCUUUGUUAUUUUUCAGAGUCCACACAGAGGUGGUGGGUGGCUGCUGAAGCCCAGGCUUCCAUCUGGGACAUCGUCUCUCCACGUACACAUGAUGCGCGUGUGUGGACGUUUUUGAAUAGAGAGGGAAAAUGUCAGAUUUGGGGCCUCUUGAGCCCAGCAUCAUCUUUUUAAGAAGUCUCCCCCAUGCCAAGGAAUCUGAUUGGGUGGCUCCGGUGUCUGCCUGACAUUGGCACCUAGACGAUAAUCUCCUUAACGCUGUAAAUACUAAAGCUAAGUACCUUGGCAGGCAAAACAGCUAUGAUCUCGGAGAACACGUCGCGGCCGUCUGGCGGAGACCACUGCUGCGGUCAGCGACGGCCAAGCCCCACGCAGGGCGAAGCGUGUGACCUGACAGAGCAGGAAAUGGGCAGCCAAGACCUCGCCACUGUUUGGAAAUCUUUAAAGAUGCCAGGAGAGGGUUUCUCUUCCUGUGUAAGAGAGAAGCCAAGCUGUUGUCAUCUGAGGGGCAGCUGUAGGGAGUGGGGUACAGGUGGGUCUGAGAAAAGGAGUGACAGCAGGGAGGGGGGCUUCCAGGCUUCUCCUGUCCCCGGGACCUGGGAUCCCUGGCUCCCACAAUGCUCAUUGGGAAAUGGAUCUUUCCACUUAGCCUCGGGGGUGAACAAGGACGCUGCAACUCUGAGGCAACGGCUGGGUGACAAUACCUGGCCAUCGCCUCCUCUCCCAUGUGCUGGUCGGAAGAAAACCUCUCCCCUGCAGCCUUCCUGCAGAAGCCGCGUGGCUGCAUGUGCCCUGCUCUUGUGCUCACAUGAUUCUGUCCGCCUGGGCUCCUUCCCCUCUUCUGUCUGAUAACCUCCCAGUUACCCUUCAAAACGCAGACGAGGCCUGGCCGGAGGGCCCUCAGCCGCCCCUUUCUCCCUUCACACCUAAGACGGGCCAACUCAAACGCAUGCCAUCUGCAGGGAUGAAGUCACGAGCCACAGUAGCCGCGGGCCUUCGACACCCCUGAAAGGAGCUGGGGGCGGAGCUCAGGAGGAGGCACUCUGUGCUCCAGGAAAACUGGCCGAACAGGUCUUCAGAGAGGGAGAUAUUUUCCGGAGAUGUUAUGACCCAGUUUCUUGCAUCGUCUCAUGUCUAGAACAGCCCUAAAAUCAUUCAUGGAGAUGGCAUUUUAUUACACAAACAUUUAAGUUUUAUAUAACUUAGCAAUUACCUGUAUUAUAUGGAAAUAUCGUCUAACUUAAUCCUCACGUAACACCACGGGAAGGAGCCAUCCCGGACCAUUUGACAGGGGAGGCAGCUGGGACCAGAGGCACGUGGGCCUUUCAUUAGCUGUUCCUCCCUCCUCAUCUUCUCUCUCCCAGCGGAUCCCACCAAUGGGUCCUUGAGGGCCCACUUUCUCGGUGGGGACCACAUCGCCCCCCCAGAGGAGGAAAACGGGCUCCUGGAAGUAUGAAAAAAAACUUAGGUCACACAAAGAUCUGUGCUUCGGAGGUCCCGCUGUGGCCCAGUGGAAACUAGUAUCCAUGAGGACGCGGGUUCAAUCCCCGGCCUCGCUCAGGGAGGCAAGCAUCUGUGUUGCCAUGAUAUAGGUCACAGACGUGGCUCAGAUCCCGAGUGGCUGUGGCUGUGGUGUCGGCCAUGGCUACAGCUCCAAUUCGACCCCUAGCCUGGGAACCUCCAUGUGCUGCAGGUGCAGCCCUAAAAAGCAAAAAAAAAAAAAA